GACGAACGCUGGCGGCGUGCCUAACACAUGCAAGUCGAGCGGAGUCGAUCGACGGAAGCCUUCGGGCGGAAGAUGGUUGACUUAGCGGCGGAUGGGUGAGUAACGCGUGGGCAACCUGCCUCGAAGACCGGGAUAACAGCCCGAAAGGGCUGCUAAUACCGGAUGUGGUCAAGGAUCCGCAUGGAUUUUUGAUUAAAGGGGAAACCCGUUUCGAGAUGGGCCCGCGUCCUAUCAGCUAGUUGGUGAGGUAAAAGCUCACCAAGGCGACGACGGGUAGCCGGCCUGAGAGGGUGACCGGCCACACUGGAACUGAGACACGGUCCAGACUCCUACGGGGGGCAGCAGUGGGGAAUCUUCCACAAUGGGCGAAAGCCUGAUGGAGCGACGCCGCGUGAGCGAAGAAGGCCUUCGGGUUGUAAAGCUCUGUCUGGAGGGACGAAGGAAGUGACGGUACCCGUACCGGAGGAAGCCACGGCUAACUAACGUG
rnacentral:rRNA from 1 species